GUUCACAGUGGCUGCAGUAGGGUAGAAACAGGAACCCCUAAGGUCCGAUCACAGAAGAACCUCUUGACUGCCUCUACCCUGGCCAUUUCUGUGAUCAAAGCACAUUUGAGAAAAAAUUUGUCUUUUUACAUGCAACACAGCAGAAUUCCGGGUAACAGAAUCUGCUUUUCCUUAAUUAAGAGUCUGCCAGAAGUGGGAGAACAGUUAGGAACUUGAGGACAAAGAACAUGAGAAGCAGAAAUUUUGCCUUCCCAGGCAGAAAAUUAAUUAUAAAAUCAGAUUGUGUUACCAGAAUUGUUUAUAUCUGUGUUUUAAGGAAUUUGCCAUCUUCUGAAUCUAAUAGAUGGAGCAGUCAGAGCUUGACUGCUACAACAGUUUUUAAUUUGUUUGGAAAUUAGUCCAAAUAAUGAAGAAAUGCUUUUCAAUACAACAUGAAGGCAAUACAAUUGGCACAUCUUUUAAACAACAACAACACAGUUCUCAACGUUGAAUAACUAAAGAAAAGCAUCAGUCAGAAACAGGUUGCGAACUUCUGGUUUGAAGAAAUGCUACUUCUAAGGGUAUACUAAUACCUAUCAAAACUCCAUACUUGAGCACUUUCUUUGUAUCACUUUUGCCCUUCAAAAUAGACCUGAGGAUGUGGUAGGUAACUUUGUCUUCCAUUUCAGAGAGAGGAACCCCUGGCUCAGGAGAAUGGAGUCACUUGCCCAGGGUCAUCCACCUGAGCUGGUGUCCUUUGCACUCCCCAUGCUGCUUCUCUCUGGGUUUGGCAAAGGUUUUUUGUUUUUGCAAGAAACAAGUAGAACAAAGGCAGUCAAGGGUGCGAGGAUAUUGGAAGCUGUAUUCUGUGAGCGUUCAUGAAGGCUGUGGAAGGAUCCAGGCAGGAUGGCCUCAAAUUAAGAUUUUAAUGACUCUUUGGUUUAGAAAACACACUCUUAUUGUUAACACUAUCUUAUCAGGUAUCAUUUUUGAAUUCACAGAUGAAAGCUAAAAAAUUCAUAAUUACACAAAUACUUACUUGUCUUGUGUGUUUGCAUGUGUGUGUCUGUUAAGGAACAAAUGCAUAGUGCCUACAGGAAGUAAGGGCAAAAUAAUUUCAAGGACUGGGAGUUUCCGGAAUUACCUAUGGCAAAGGCAAUUGCGUGCUGCAUUUUGACAAGGUUAAAAGUAUCUACACCCAAAUGCUGACUCAAGGAGAGUACGGGCGCCACAAGACCCUGUGAGUUUCAAACGUACAUUUAAAUGUUAUUCUUUGGGGGUUAAAAUGUUUUAUUUACAAAUGAACGAGGGUUGAUUGAUCUUGAUGAAAGACAUUUAAACAGGACCUCAGCUGAUAAAAAUUUCUGGCAGUAGCCAUCAUUUGGUCAGUGUUUGAUCUUCGGUAA
rnacentral:lncRNA from 1 species